rnacentral:rRNA from 1 species
UACGUAGGGGGCUAGCGUUGUCCGGAAUCAUUGGGCGUAAAGAGCGUGUAGGCGGCCCGGUAAGUCCGCUGUGAUAGUCGGGGGCUCAACCCUCGAAUGCCGGUGGAUACUGUCGGGCUAGAGUGCGGAAGAGGCGAGUGGAAUUCCUGGUGUAGCGGUGAAAUGCGCAGAAAUCAGGAGGAACACCGAUUGCGAAGGCAGCUCGCUGGGACGUUACUGACGCUGAGACGCGAAAGCGUGGGGAGCAAACAGG